CUACUCGACGUUCUGUCUUUUCCAAAAUAUUGCAAUUGGCUAAUGUUUAUAAACAUAAUUAUAAUAUUAUACAUAUAAUAAUAGUAAUUUUACGCUUUGGUAAUCGCAGCCAAAGUCAGACGUACGCGACACGCUUCGUGACGAAAGCGAUACGCACGAACACGUUGUACGUCUACGGCGGAUCGUAAGUUUGACCGGCGAUCUGCGGGCGAAAUUUUCUUGUAUCGUCGCUCUGGUUUCGCUUAAUCUCUUUCGAUGGUUCGAAAGCAACGUUUCGGCGGGGAGAAUAGGAUCUCCCCUUUGAAACGAUAACAGAGAACGCGAGACACAGGACGAGAGGGGUGCAUUUCAAUUGAUCCGUCGCUAUCGUCAGCAGGGUUCGUUGACCAACAUUAUCGUAUACAGUGACGUGCACGCGAACCCUUCCAGAAAAGAAUACGCCGAGAGUGUCCUUGAACGAUCAUCGUUUCCUCGUUAAAAUCAUUUACGAUCCUUUGCUUCUGAUCUUUCGUUUGUGCCACGUUGUCUCUCCGCUUUGCCUUUUCCAUCUCUCGCCUUUCUUUCGUUUUAUUCCUCCGAAUCCGUCUGCGUAUAUCGACUUGGCAACUAAGUGAUUGCGGAUUUUGUCAUUAGGUGGUAUUGACAAAAUCCGCAAUCACUUAAUUGCCAAUCCAAUAGUUUCGCCAUAGUUUUCUAUUCGCGCCCGAUUAAGCUGCGAAACUACAGUCACUCGAGUCGAAUAUUUCGUGGAAAAAUCGUUGCAUAUUUUCGAAACGUAGGUUGUGACGUUACAUGUAAAAUAAAUUCGAAAUUCCACUUCUUCGAGCCUCCUACUCGCUUACGCUAUUUUCAUAAUAUGUUAGCACGGUUACAGUUUACUAUAGUUCGGUGUAGUUGUCGAAUAUCGUCAUCGAUUUCACGAUAGUAGGAAGACUAUUAUUUGGUAGUAGCAUACGGUAUUUAUUAAUCGCAGCAGUCGGCAAUGGCCUACAAAUGGACUUGGUCUCGCUCCUACCACGUUCUACCGAUCUCAAAUUCUUGUUCGAGCCUGUCCUAUCAAUUCCGCUGCUCUUGCGAUUCUCGCAGAGUCGCUUAACACGCUUUUACUUCUAUCUUUUCAUUAUCCUUGUUACUAAUUUUUCUCCACUUUCAAACUACUUGCAAAGUGCAGCGUACGCUAUAUUCAGAUAUUUUUGUUUAACGAACGCUCAGUUUCCUCUCGUUUCUUAACACCUGUGAUAGGAGCUUUUGCAUCGUGCUAUAUUUAACUUCGUCGCACCAUCUCUUUGCGAUUCUUUUACAGUUUGCUACAGACGUAGCAAGACGUUAUCUAGCAUUGUUUUCACGGACGGAAACGAGAGUCGUUCCGGAGCGAGAAAGUCGAUCGGGAAAGAAAGCUGAGUCAUACAGGAAAGAUUCGUUUCAUCCCUCGUCUUACUCAUCCGUCGCUGUUUUUCCAGUUAAUUUAUUUUAUUUGUUUCGCAUACAAGAGAGAUUUCUUCGUGUUAGAUCAACUAACAGUCAGUAUGCAACACUAUGGCACGGAAGAAUUAAAACUUUUUAUGUAUAUAUCGUACAAUACGUUUUGAAAUUUCAUUGACAUUGUAACGACGCGGCUAUCGACUCUGUCGGUAAAAUUGGAAACGAUUCUGAAAAUUUCUAUGGAAGUUACGAGAUAUUUGGCGGAAAUGCUCACUUGGAAAGAUCAUCGAGAUAUUUGAACAUUGAAUCGUUCGCUAGAUUAAUAAUCCAUAACCCGUAGUUAGACCAAUUUUGCCAUUAAUCGUAUGUUUCCAGGCUAUUGUUCACGCUGUAUGUUAAUUUCUCGCUAAAGUGUAUUUUCGCGACGAAUGUCUUGUUAUAGUUUCUAUAUACAUUUCCACGUUGGUCUCAAGUUUCGCGACUCUGUCGGUAAAAUUGGAAACGAAUCUGAAAAUUUCUAUAAAAGUUACGAGAUAUUUGGCGGAAAUGCUCACUUGGAAGGAUCAUCGAGAUAUUUGAACAUUGAAUCGUUCGCUAGAUUAAUAAUCCAUAACCCGUAGUUGGACCAAUUUUGCCACUAAUCGUAUGUUUCCAGGCUAUUGUUCACGCUGUAUGUUAAUUUCUCGCUAAAGUGCAUUUUCGCGAGGAAUGUCUUAUAGAUUCUAUAUACAUUUCCACGUUGGUCUCAAGUUUGGCGACUCUGUCGGUAAAAUUGGAAACGAAUCUGAAAAUUUCUAUAAAAGUUACGAGAUAUUUGGCGGAAUGCUCACUUGGAAAGAUUAUCGAGAUAUUUGAACAUUGAAUCGAAUGAAUUCAGGUUUCAGGUUUCGCCAUUCUAUAAUCGCGAUAUUCGUGUAUCGGUCUAUAUCGGUACUAACGAAAUAUUGAAAAGUUUUGUAGAAAAAGCGUGCGAAUACUUUUACUAGCUGUACGAAAAAUAAGAGAAGGUUGAAGAAAAUAGGAGAUGAUAGAGAAAAAGAGGAGAAAAGAGUCGUGGGACCAAGGACUAAUCUCUCGUCAAGCUUUUUCAAAAUCACCGAUAAUUCGAACGAGACGUGUGAAAAUGUUCGCUUUGAGCGUAAGGUAGCCAGUCGGAACUAAUAAACCAAUAACGAUCGUUUUUUUUUUCGUUCGUUCCGUAUAUUCGAUGUUGUUUAUUUGAUGCGAUGAUAAACGGAAUUAAUAGAUAGUUUCCUAGGUCAACGAUGCAGGAGGGCCAAUUUAUUUGCAACCUUGAACCAUUCUGGAACUCCAUUACCAAUAACAUCCAUCGUAAUUAUUGUCCGUUUCGUUUGCCAAGAAUUAAUGGUCUGAAACAGCGUAUAUCGUAUCGUUUGCUAUAUCGUGUUUCAGAUUGAAAUUGAAUUAUACGAAAGCGUAGUUCAUCUGACCACUGUGUCGUGGCGCUCAAAUUCGCGUUACUUUUCUUUUUCGUUUAAUAUCACGCAGCAUCCGUUAAUCCUAAUGAGCAAGUGGAACGUUGGGAACAUCGAGGACUUAGUAAGCAGCUGUUUCGGCUUAUCGUGCUUUUCCUAUAAUAGCAUGAAACACGGUAUUACGGUAUAGUAUUGUUAUUAUCUCGAUGCGAUUCAACGAGAUAUACGUUGUGUAACGUUACAAAUUUCCUUCUUUUUGCGACAUCGCCCGUUCGUUGGUUUGUGAUUUAUCGAAUAAUAAUUUCCAUAAGAACAAAGAUACGCCGUUGCAUGGAUGUUGUAGAAACGACUGAGCGAAUAAAUUUCACGCGGUACAACACGAAGAUUCGAUGUGAAGGUAGAAGAAAAGGACAGACCGAGGAGGAGACGUAAAAUUCAAUGUGAAAAUAGGAAAGAAUGGAAAAUAUGGAACAAGCUGGAAUCGUGUUCGUUCGUUGCAUAUUUUAUUAGAAACUGGGACAUUGUCCGUAUUUGACGCAAUUUCGACGAUUCCGCUAUGCAUCGCAAGCCUGUAUUCCUUCACAGAGGAAUGCUCAUUUCCUCUUCAAUUUCUACAUUCCGUUCUUCCUUCUUCCCUUACACGGUAAGAUGGUAAUAAAUAAGUUAAUAAAUAAAAAGAAAUUAUCUUCAACUUAGUCACAGGCGAGUUAAGAUGCUCAAAAAUGUAUGGAGGAAACGUAGAAUUCUCUACUUCGUUUAAAAUCUACCAGCAGAAUUUAAUCUUAAUUUCGACCACUACCGCAGACAGAGAUGAAUGAGGAGGAGAUCGCCGAUGAGCCUGACAGAAAUUCAGCGGAAAAUGCGCUUCACUAACUAGCGCUUCUAGCGGUCAAACGGCUGAACUAUACGCAUAUUACUCCCCACGAUAUUCUCGGUGGUAUAAACGUGACCCUGACGAUCGGCUGUACAGAAUUGGCCGAAAACAGGCUCUUAUUCUUAGCGACGCUUCGAAAACGAGCGGCAAUACGUUGCACCGUACUUCGAGCGCUUAUGAUCUUCAUCCUCUCCUUCGUGUAAGAAGACUUGUUUUAGCUACACUAGUCGGGCAACGGAAUCAAGUUAUGGUAAAAUUGUACAUUUAUUACAAACCUGCAAAUUGACUUGAAUAGAACAAUGCCAUUUUCCAAAUGAA